UUGGGCUUUUUUAUGAACCAAAACAGAUAGUGGUUCCAGCACUUCUCGUCAAUUUAGUUAAGAAUUAAGUUUAAGUUUAUUAUUCGAAAUUACGGUAGCCUCAAAGUUAACAUAUAACUGUUGUACAAGGUCAAGGAUAGUCAACUUUAAAUGAGAUUGCAUACAGUUUCUUGAGAUUUCACAUUUAGUUAAGAAUUCUUAUAAUAUUUGAUUAUUAGGUAUAUCAAGUUAAACGCCCUUUAUAAACCAUUGAAUUUAUUUAGAAACUCCAAACGGGGAAUGAAUAAAUCCAAAGGUUUAAAAUCCCAAAAAAUACAAAGUUCAGGUCUUCUGAAGGACCUCUACCAAAGAUUGAUUUUAUUCUACUAAACUUAAAGAAACAGACAUUCGUAUAUGAUCAAUGAUGUUAAUAUAGAAUAACGGUUAAACCUGUUGUCACACUUCUCAGCUCCUCGAGCAACCGCAUCAUCCACGCCAAGGAUCAUGCCUCCAUCCAGAUCAACAUCGUCGACGUGAACCCCCAGACUGGCCGCAUGCUGGAAACCUCCAAGGUGUACGCCAUCUGCGGUGAAAUUCGCCGUAUGGGUGAAUCCGACGAUUGCAUCGUCCGACUGGCCAAGAAGGAUGGUCUGCUUACCAAGAACUACUAAAAUUCUGGUAUGUGAUAAGAGGGGUGUAUCAUAAUAAAAUAAUACUUUCUUUAAAGUAA